GACGAGGGGUCCUAGCGUUGUUCGGAAUCAUUGGGCGUAAAGCGUGUGUAGGUGGCUAUUCAAGUCAGUUGUGAAAGCCCCGGGCUUAACCCGGGAAGUGCUUCUGAUACUGUUUAGCUUGAGUACUGGAGAGGAUAGUAGAAUUCCUGGUGUAGUGGUGAAAUACGUAGAUAUCAGGAGGAAUACCGGUGGCGAAGGCGGCUAUCUGGCCAUGUACUGACACUGAGACACGAAAGCGUGGGGGAGCAAACAGG
rnacentral:rRNA from 1 species